rnacentral:rRNA from 1 species
GAUGAACGCUGGCGGCGUGCCUAAUACAUGCAAGUCGAGCGAACGGACGAGAAGCUUGCUUCUCUGAUGUUAGCGGCGGACGGGUGAGUAACACGUGGAUAACCUACCUAUAAGACUGGGAUAACUUCGGGAAACCGGAGCUAAUACCGGAUAAUAUUUUGAACCGCAUGGUUCAAAAGUAAAAGACGGUCUUGCUGUCACUUAUAGAUGGAUCCGCGCUGCAUUAGCUAGUUGGUAAGGUAACGGCUUACCAAGGCAACGAUGCAUAGCCGACCUGAGAGAGUGAUCGGCCACACUGGAACUGAGACACGGUCCAGACUCCUACGGGAGGCAGCAGUAGGGAAUCUUCCGCAAUGGGCGAAAGCAAGACGGAGCAACGCCGCGUGAGUGAUGAAGGUCUUCGGAUCGUAAAACUCUGUUACUAGGGAAGAACAUAUGUGUAAGUAACUGUGCACAUCUUGACGGUACCUAAUCAGAAAGCCACGGCUAACUACGUG